CGGGGCGUAGCUUCCAGUUUGGUAGAGCACUCGCUUUGGGAGCGAGUAUCGUAGGUUCAAAUCCUAUCGCCCCGA
rnacentral:tRNA from 1 species